AAAACCACAAUUUUCAACAUGUCUUUCAAGAUCUUCAACAUUUAUAAAUUCAGGACAACCACGACUGGCGUACCAUGCACUCUGCUUUGAUACCA